UGGGCUCACCUGUGGGCAUGGGCUCGCUCGGGGGGUCCCCCGAGGCCUUGUCAUCACUGUCAUUCUCACACAGCGAGGUGGUUCUUCCUUUCCAUUCGGUUUUGGGGAGCAGUUCCACGACUACCAUGUCUCCGUGAAUCGAGCGGUUGCGGGCUUUCAUGCCGUGAACUAGGAUGUCACUGACUAAACCUGUGUGUGGGCAGGGGCGCAGAAACCCCGGAAGGCCACGGGGGAUGCCAUGCCUGUGAGGCCUUUCCAACACCGAAGUGUUCCUGCAAACCACAGCUUCCCCCUUUCAAAGAGACUGGAGGCAUUUAUAAGGCUGCUUGUGUGAUGCUCAGUACGUAACCCAGUUAAGAAGAUUAGAGAGUAGCACCAAACCAGAUGGCAAGGUGUCCCCAGGAAGAACGACUCUCCAACCAUCCCCAACAAUGACAGGCCUGGCUUACUCAUGCCUAUUUACAGCCUUUGAAAUUAAAGGCCCGUGGUAGGCCAUAAAGGAGAGAAGAAAACACGCUGGCUCAUCCCAGCGCCGACGCCUUAUGACCACCCUCACCUGGAUGUAGCGUCCAGAUUUAAUGCCAGCUUCCAGCACUUCUAGGGGGAGAUGCUCUGCGUACUCCUUCCCGUGGCUCUCCUGACUCUCAUUCUCUCUUUCCCGUCGAGACUGAAGGAUGGAGUCACAAAGCUCAUGGGCAGCCUUUAAAUCAGGCCAGAAGUUGUCCAGGUAAUCCUGCGUUUAAUAAAGGUAUAAGAGAAACAUGGUCAGAA